AGAGUUUGAUCAUGGCUCAGAUUGAACGCUGGCGGUAUGCUUAACACAUGCAAGUCGAACGGUAACAGCAGAGCUUGCUCUGGCUGACGAGUGGCGGACGGGUGCGUAACGCGUGGGAAUUUACCUUAUAGUGGGGGAUAGCCCGGAGAAAUCCGGAUUAACACCGCAUAAUCUCUACGGAGGGAAAGCUUUAGCGCUAUUAGAUGAGCCCGCGUUAGAUUAGCUUGUUGGUAGGGUAAAGGCCUACCAAGGCUACGAUCUAUAGCUGGUCUGAGAGGAUGAUCAGCCACACUGGGACUGAGACACGGCCCAGACUCCUACGGGAGGCAGCAGUGGGGAAUAUUGGACAAUGGGCGAAAGCCUGAUCCAGCAAUGCCACGUGAGUGAUGAAGGCCUUCGGGUUGUAAAGCUCUUUCAGCAAGGAAGAUAAUGACGGUACUUGCAGAAGAAGCACCGGCUAACUCCGUGCCAGCAGCCGCGGUAAUACGGAGGGUGCUAGCGUUGUUCGGAAUUACUGGGCGUAAAGGGCGCGUAGGCGGUUUGUUAAGUUGGAAGUGAAAUCCCGGAGCUCAACUCCGGAACUGCUUUCAAAACUGGCUUACUAGAGUUAUGUAGAGGAUAGUGGAAUUCCCAAUGUAGAGGUGAAAUUCGUAGAUAUUGGGAGGAACACCAGAAGCGAAGGCGACUAUCUGGGCCUUAACUGACGCUGAGGCGCGAAAGUGUGGGGAGCAAACAGGAUUAGAUACCCUGGUAGUCCACACUGUAAACGAUGAGUGCUAGGUAUCGGAUCUCUGAUUCGGUGUCGAAGCUAACGCAUUAAGCACUCCGCCUGGGGACUACGGUCGCAAGAUUAAAACUCAAAGGAAUUGACGGGGGCUCGCACAAGUGGUGGAGCAUGCGGUUUAAUUCGAUGCUACGCGAAAAACCUUACCAACCCUUGACAUGGUGGUCGCAGAACCACAGAGAUGAGAUUCUUCAGUUUGGCUGGACCACACACAGGUGUUGCAUGGCUGUCGUCAGCUCGUGUCGUGAGAUGUUGGGUUAAGUCCCGCAACGAGCGAAACCCUCAUCCUUAUUUGCCAGCGAUUCGGCCGGGGACUCUAGGGAAACUGCCGGUGAUAAGCCGGAGGAAGGCGGGGAUGACGUCAAGUCCUCAUGGCCCUUAUGGGCUGGGCUACACACGUGCUACAAUGGCGGUGACAGUGGGCAGCGAAGGGGUGACCUGGAGCUAAUCCCCAAAAACCGUCUCAGUUCGGAUUCUACUCUGUAACUCGAGUGCAUGAAGUUGGAAUCGCUAGUCAUCGCGGAUCAGCAUGCCGCGGUGAAUACGUUCCCGGGCCUUGUACACACCGCCCGUCACACCAUGGGAGUUGGUUUUACCCGAAGCCGGUGCGCUAACCGCAAGGAGGCAGCCGACCACGGUAGGGUCAGCGACUGGGGUGAAGUCGUAACAAGGUAGCCGUA
rnacentral:rRNA from 1 species